AACGGCCUACCAAGGGUACGAUGGGUAGCUGGUCUGAGAGGAUGAUCAGCCACACUGGAACUGAGACACGGUCCAGACUCCUACGGGAGGCAGCAGUGGGGAAUAUUGGACAAUGGGCGAAAGCCUGAUCCAGCCAUGCCGCGUGGGUGAUUGAAGGCCUUCGGGUUGUAAAGCCCUGUCGGAGGGGACGAAAGCCGCAAGGUUUGACGGUACCUUCCAAGAAAGCACCGGCUAACUCCGUGCCAGCAGCCGCGGUAAUACGGAGGGUGCAAGCGUUGCUCGGAAUUACUGGGCGUAAAGCGUACGCAGGCGGCUUUGUAAGUCGGGUGUGAAAGCCCCAGGCUCAACCUGGUAACUGCAUCCGAUACUGCAAGGCUUGAGUUCGGGAGAGGGAAGUGGAAUUCCUGGUGUAGAGGUGAAAUUCGUUGAUAUCAGGAGGAACACCGGCGGCGAAAGCGGCUUCCUGGCCCGAUACUGACGCUCAUGUACGAAAGCGUGGGGAGC
rnacentral:rRNA from 1 species